GUCAACCACCCCUCCCUGAAGGGAGGGGCUUGUAGGGAGACCUAUAAGCCCGGGGUUGACCAGGGAAAGCGGUAAUCAGCCCGCUACGUUGGCGACAGGUCAGAAGACCCACUCCGAGAUGCUUCCUGAGUCUCGGACCCUGGAAGGAACCGUUGCAGACAAGGCACGGGUAGCCACGAAACGGACGGUUCCCGCCGGUCGAUCCGGCAAGCCGGUUGCCGACAUUCCCGAAGGGAGACGCCC
rfam:Acidihalobacter prosperus strain DSM 5130 contig_04, whole genome shotgun sequence.